ACGUCCAUACCACGCUGAAUUUGUAAUACCGGUUCUCAUCCGAUCGCCGAAGUUAAGCAGCGGCGGGCGGGGUCAGUAUUUGAAUGGGUGACCGCCUAGAAGUACCGCAUGAUGUC